rnacentral:lncRNA from 1 species
CUGCAUUUGUGGUUAACAUAGAUUUUAAUGAAUGGGCAUGAAGAUAUUUUUUAAAGAAAACAAAAUGUCUCUCUUCACUGCUGUCAGUAUCUUGUAAACCAAUGUAUUCGAGAAGUAGAGCCUGUGGUUCUCAAAUUGUGGAAUGUUUGUGGUCCUUGGGGGUUGUCUUGAGGAACAGUGCUGCCGAUAAUCUAAAAUUCAUUAAUUUUGAUAAUAAGAAAGGCUUACUGUUAUUUCCCAUUUGCAUUCACUUUCUGUAUUUUAUUUUUCCUUCAACACAAGCUAAAAUGAACUUUGCAGCAGUUGUUCUGGUUUUUCCUCUUUUAAUUGACACAUUUCUUAAGCUUUAACGUACUUAUUGUAAGUGCCAUAUUUGAUUUCAUAGUCUAUUAAAGUGUAUGUCUUUUUUUAGACAUUAUGCUGUCAGCUGAACGCAAAAGUUACUGCAGGCAUCGCAAAUCGUCUGUGCGCAAGAGAAGUGUUAAAACUGUUUGAUCGCAACCAAAUUGUGUUGUAUAUUUGCCUGGCAUUGAAAUUGUGAACUUUUUUUAUUUUUAUGUCUGUAUAAUAAUGAUCUUUAAUUUUUGUUUUAAAUUAGUAGUAUAAAUCCUUGUGUAAGAUGAUGUUUUAAAAGAAAGGAAGGAAUCGUACAGGUGGGCUUCCUUUAGAGACGGAAAUUGUAUUGCCAGAAUUAAUUUAGAACUGACUUUAUUAGUCGAAGCUUAAUUAAUAAAUGCAAACAGGUUUUCUAAAAUGCCGGAUAGUUAAGAUAUAUUCAUACCUCAGAUACAGACAACAUAAAUUCCAGCAAAAGAAAGUUGUAAAAUGAUUUUCAUGAACUUAAAAAAUAAGUUUAAAAAAAAAAAAAAAGCUGAGUUUGUUCUGUUGUAGCCAUGCCAAUAUGAAGAUUAAACAAGACCACCAUGGACAAAGUGCCAAAUAAUGUAAGCGCCUAGUGGUCAUUUUGAUUCAAAAAGUAUGUUUUCGUAGAGAUUUUUAAAACCCCACAGCAUGGCUAAGCUGAACACUGCCACAUUGCAUGGUUUUCCCUUUUACAGUAACUUUAUUUUUAACUCUGGAUCUAAACACAAAAAAUAGGUUCCUUAUCUAUGUUUAAGGGCUUCCAAGUUGGUUCAACAAUGUAUUUAAAACACAUUUUAUCCCUUGUCACCUGAUAAGCUUGUAAUUUUACAAAAAAUGAAACUCUGACUAAAGGAACACUUGAAAAAGCAAGUCUUUACCUCUCUUCGUGGCCGUCCUGCCUCUUUGGUGGAGAUCAAGUGCUGAUGAUCUCAACCAAUCCAGUGCUUUCCUGUAGGGAAGUAUUGGGAGACUAAUUGGCAUGUGCAGCAAAUUUCUGCUCCGCGACAAAUCAGCAUCUCCUCGUAGAAAUUUGUUGAGUCAGUACGUAGGGAUGCUGAACAUUCGUCCUGUAAUCUAUGCAGGACUGAAUCAAGGAAGUCCCUCUAGUGGCGAUCAAGACUCAGUUGACACCAUUCUUAAAUGAUGAGAUGCUUUUGAAAUUAUUCCAGAGAAUAAAGAUUACUAGUUUUGUUAAUGUAUUAUAUAAAGAAUAAUCCCUUGUCAAUCAUACUUGGUCAUUUUAUGGCCGUUGUCUAACUUUUACAGAGGACCUCUGCUAUGACCCUAGAAGCAUCACACUGCUUUGAUUAAAUUUAAACAGGAGCUUGUAAAGUGCCCUCCCUUACAGCCAUUGCACAUAUUUGAUUUAAAUGUACCAAACUAUUUUUGAGAUAACAAAUAUACGUGCAUGCUGCAGAACUCAAGUAUGUAGAUUUGCUAAAAUGUUGUUUCAUCAAACUUUUUUUAUCCAUGUUAUUAGUUAUAAACAAUUUCCAGUACAGCCCUUUUGAUAAAUCAGAUUAAAUGUUUUUAUGAAUUUAUACUUUUGCUUUAAAUUGCUGAUGGU